GCUACCGGUUCGGUGCCGCGCGACCGGAAGCGGAGUGCACCCGGGGCCCUCUGGGAACUGUAGUUCUGUCUUUCCAUGGCCUCUCUCCGGCGUAAGGGCUCCGUCUCCUCGGACCCAAGACCAAGGCCUGGGUGGCAGGGACACGUGACCUGUUUGGAAGCUGUGGGGACUGUUCCUCAGGCCCAGACCGCCGGCGGUUGUAGAGCCCACGAGCCCGGCCCGUCUCCGCGAUGAACGGCUCGCCGAAGAGGCCUCUGGGAAUUGUAGUUGAGGGGGUGGGGGGAGCCGGGCCAGUGCGCGAGGUCCGAGUUGCGACCGUUACUCGCCCCCGCGGUCGGAGAGAGCUCGGGGGUCGCAGCCACACCCGCCCUUCCGACAGAGAAGGCUUUGCCUCGGCUUUCGGGAGCCCAGGCAGGAGGGCGGCCGCAAGGCGAGGUGUCGGCCCUGGCUCAGGGGAAGAAAGUUUCUUAAAUAAGAUGCUCAGGGAGAGUUUGUCUGAAACGAACCCUCCCACGGCACAAGUGAGCCUCCUUGGGGACUUCUCCAGUCCAGAAUGACCACAGCAGUGACUGGGGGCUGUGUCCCAGUGCCUCGGGAUCCUUCAGAAGCAGGACAGAAUUCUGACCAUGAAGGUGGAAACAGGACCACUCGUAGGGGAAAGACUAUGCUGCCAGAGCUCCCACUGUUCUUACUGGUCUCCAGGACAGGAGGUUUGCCAGGGGGAGACGGCUCCCCACGCCCAGCAGGGGAAUCAGCACACUUGAGCCCCAGUUCGAACGUGGAUCUUGGGAGCUCUGCACCAGUGGUAGGAGGCGGCAUCCCCUGGGGAGCAGGUCAGAGUCUUUGAUGUUUUUCCUGGGCACUCCUGUGUUGAAAAGCAGGACAAAACACACAGCGUCCAGACCUGUGCUGGGAGUUGAGUGUGAUCAUCCACCUGGCAUGAGACCUCAAGUCCAGGACUCAGCGAGGUCCUGAGGUCAUUGGAGCACAGCAGAGAAUGUCAGGUCAUCCCCCAGUGCCCCAACCACAGCGGUGUGGCCUUCCAUUUCCUGAAGAUGGACACGCUAUUGGGCUGUUUUGAAUUCUGGUGUGGUAGCAUUUUAGCUACAUGGCACUCCAUGGUAUGGCUCAUGGAGACCUUUAUUGACGGUAAUAGCACCUUUCUUCUUUCCAUCAUGUAGCCUCUACUCAACAUUUGAAGGGAACCCAGCAGAUCCAGCCACCCUGGGUGUAUGGAAGGGAGGCCUGCUCUGGGGAAAGGCAGGCAGUUGGGAAUCAAAGAGAACGACCCAACAAAGCAUCCAUCCCAGCCAGAAGGAGAAGCAGGCAGGGUGGAGGGGCUGGACGCACUCCUGUCCCUUACUUCAGAGAAGAGGCAUGACAUCACCGUUCAUUUGCCCCCAAUUCUCAGAACUCAGCACGUUGCUUUGUACCGGGACUCUUACGUGCUCAUUGCAAAGCCAAAUACCACCGCUAGGGGGCUGCUGCUUUCGAUCGGCGGCGCGUCCUGAUCUUUGCCUGAGCAGGAGGGACGGAGAGGGGACUUCACAGAUUUGGACGCAGUGGACGGCCACGUCAGGAGAACAUCACGCCCCGUCCUGUGGAAGUGUGGUUUCAUUGAAAAGCUCCCACACUGAAAUAAGUGACACACUGGACAGCUUCUAGAGUCUCCUGUCACCAUUGGGAUCCGUGGGACACGGUAUUAGAGGAGGCCAGACUCCUGCAUGACAUUCCUCUGGUGCCCACCAGAAUGGAUGGAUGGGGGGUGUUCAGGUAUUGAAAUGCUCGUGGACUGGCUGGUAAGCAGCUGCUGGUCUGUGUCCCCAAGUGACCUCCCGGCCUCCUUGGCACCCCAGCGACUCCUCCCUGACCCUCGGAACCUUUCUAGGGUCAGGCAUCUAAUGGUCAUCACUCGCUGGUACAAGAGGCCCCUGGGUCUCCAGAUGAGAUCAUGACCUGAGCCGAAGUCAAGACGCUUAACUGACUGAGCCCCCCAGGGUCCCCUCAUAACCUUUUUAAAAAAUACACGAUUGGGGCCCCAGGGUGGCUCCAUCGGUUGAACAUCCAACUUUGGCUCAAGUCAUGAUCUCACGGUUUAUGGGUUCGAGCCCCGCAUCGGGCUCUGUGCUGACAGCUAGGAGCCUGGAGCCUGCUUUGGAUUCUGUGUCUCCCUCUCUCUUUCUCUGUCCCUCCCCCACUCAUGCUCUGUCUCUCUCACUGUCAAAAAUAAAUAAACGUUAAAAAAAAUUUUUUAAUUAAAAUAUAAAAAAUAUAUGAUCAUUAACUAACUGGAAUUUAAAUAAAAAUUUGGAAGAAAAAAAUGGAUGAUCAGUAAUUUUCUAUAACUUUAUUUAUCAUUGCUGUAUCAUAUGUCAUCCUUUAUUCAAUCCAUCCCCCAUGGCAGGUGUGUUUUACUUCCACGGCCUUUCUCUGCAGAGCAAACAGGUAAUAUUUGGAUUUUCCACAGGUAAUUACAGACGGUGGCCCGAGGAGUAAGGAUGAGGCGUUCAGCUCAUGUCGGGAACUUGCUGAAAGCAGAACCCACAGGUGACUUCACAGGUACCAGAGCUGGGAGACACCUCGGAAUGUUCCAGUACCUUAGACCAGCAUUAGGGAACCUUCAGAUGGGAGGCCAAGCAGCUGCCCCGCCCAAAAAAAGAAUUUCAAGCAGGAGAGAGAAGCAGCAGCCAUGACAGUGACAAAAGUGACCCACACUGCAGGCCAGGUGAGUGCCUUGUUCCGAGUCAGAAAUGUUGUGCAGAGACCCCAUACAUGGAACAUGCGUGGCCACAGUUUCUGGGCAGACCCAGCCCUCAGUCGGCAUCAGCCCGCACGGGAGAGGACCCUGGACCACUCCAAGUCGGCCACUCCUUCAGGAGGCCCCGUCCCCAAACACGGGCUUUGGUGUGGCCCUGCAGCCAGUGGGGUUAGUGCUCCCCGGGCGUGGAAGGGCACAGGGAGCUAGCCUGGGCAGCGGCUUGUCCCCCAGCCCCUCCACUGUCACCUCGGCCACCCAGUCUCCACUUCAGCCCCCUCUUGGGCCACUUUUCUCUGUCCUUCUGCCUUUUCAAAAAAGUGAUAAUACACUUACUCUCUUCUCAACAAAAGUAAUACAUGUCUGUAACAGAACUUUUUAUUUUUAUUUUUUUAAUCUUUAUUUAUUUUUGAGAGAGAGAGAGCAAGCGUAGGGGAGGGGCAGAGAGAGAGGGAGACACAGAAUCUGAAACAGGCUUCAGGCUCUGAGCUGUCAGCACAGAGCCCGACGCGGCGCUUGAGCCGUGAGAUCAUGACCUGAGCUGAAGUUGGACACUUAACCGACAGCCACCCAGGCGCCCCUGUGACAGAAAAUGUUAAAUACAUCUGAACAAAAUGAAGAAAAGAAGAAAAUUAGUCAUCUGUAACAUUGACUGUCCUUGCAGCAUCUGUUUCUAAGCCUCCAUACACAGUUUGUCCAGUAUUCAGAUUUCUCUAAAAAAAGAGCAAAAAACAGGCGGGGAACCUCCUGGGGGCCACAGCUACCUGCCUCCGGGACUUCAUCUUACCUGCCUUUCAGGGUGGGAACCAAGACAGGACGAUGGCAAUACCUCUCUCGGCCACAGGAGGGGGGUGUUUGCUCAUGCACGUCCUGUGCUUUCUGCUUGGGUCCAGAGCUGGCAGCUGCCGGCUCCCGUCGAAGGCACCGCAGUCAGUCCUCGAUUUAUGGCUCCUACUGCUCACUGCAUCUCUUGGAAACCUUCUUGGUCCACGAGGGGCAGAAGGACAGAAGUCACUGUUUCGCCACAUCUGCCUGAAUCCUCGGAAUCCUCGGACAGCUCUCUCCUCGCUGUCGCAGCCUGGGGCUGCCCAGAAAAGGGGUGAACCACCAGCCUCCUGGGGUCAUCUCCACGCUUACCCCCCUUCACGGUUUCCCAUCGUCCUCGGUCCUCCCGCGCUGUUGGCUCGCACACACUACGCUGGCGGCCUUCGCGCGCCUCUGCUCCAUCUCACGGCACACCUUCCCGCGUGUUCCUCUCUGCACCCCAGGCUGAUGCUUCCUCUUUCGGGUUUGGCCGGCCCGUUGCUUCUUCCCAGAAGUCACUCACGGCCCUGCGAGUCUGGGCUACGCGAUUCUCCUCUGUGCUUCCGCGUGCUUCCCUUCCAAAACCCAUAGCGUGCUGAAUCGUCCACCGCCCCCUAGAACGAACGGAAGCAACGUGAGGGCCGGGGCCACGUCCGUCUUGCUCACUGGCAUCCCCGGCGCCUGGGGCUCCGUGGGGCUCCGUCCGAGUUCGCUGGAUGGAUGAAGGAGUGAGCGAGUGUGCCUUUCCCUGUUCCCUGAAGUAGAGUCUGCAGACGCCAGUCCUCGUCCCUCCUUCCGUCCCCCUCCCCCCAGGUCACCAGGUACCGCUCCGGUCCCCUGUGUCUGUGGAAACGCAGUCCGAGGAAGAUGCAGUGCUGAAGGGCAGCUGACUGCCUGUGGCGGCGGGGAGACAGAGGCGCGAGGAGCGGGACACCCCUGGUGUCAGACCCCGGCUCUGCCACUUCCCGGCUGUGCCCGUGCCUCAUUUUCCUUAUUUACAAGGUGGUGCUGACGGUACCGGGCUUGCAGGGCUGCUCCGAGAAGUCGAAUGCUAGCCUGGCCGGCGGCCGGCAGUCACGAAGUCAGACCUGUGCCUCCGUCUCCCCUGCGCACUCUCCCGAGGCACCCCCCCACCCCCCGCUAUCUCCGAGGCACUACCCUUUUCCUGAUUCCCUUCUCCUUUCCCCACGGUCACCCACACCGCUUGUCACUGACACCUCCCCGUCCCGUGUCCUUUAUCCCCAGCACGGGUAAUAGCACCAGGCACAGCACAGACGGGAUGCAGAAAGGGUGCCCGUAGCGUGGCUGGAUGGAUGGAGGGACGAGUGAACCAGUCACAGCAGCGCCUCUGGGAUGCAUUCACCGGUGGUGGUACGUGUGAUGAUAGUCACCAGUGGACAAGUGGCCUCCUGCCUGCCGGAUGACACCAGGGACAGGUGGGGCUUAUGUGAAGGCAGGCUGCCAGCCACACCCUCAUGAGGCCACGGCAAGAACAGAAAAGGUGACACCACCCUUGACUGAAUGGCCAGGAAGGAGGAGGGGCGAUGAGGAAACAUCGCAGCCAUGUGGAAAGGCCCAGAAACACGGAGCCCCAGAGCCCUGGUUCUUCUCUUCUGCUCAGCGUUGUGGACCCCAAGGACAACACAUGCGCGACUAACCCUGAGCAAACAGUCCUACAGGUGUCUGCAUUCCUUACAGAUAGAUGGUCUGUGGUCCCACCACUGGGGCUAAAAGUUCAAGUUCCAGCCAAAUCCUUCUCUAGGUUUCUUUCUUCCUUUCUUUCUUUCUUUCUUUCUUUCUUUCUUUCUUUCUUUCUUUCUUUCUUUCUUUCUUUCUUUCUUUCUUUUUAAUGUUUAUUUAUUUAUUUUGGAGAAAGCACAAGCAGGGAAGAGGUAGAGAGAGGGAGGGAGACACAGAGUCUGACGCAGGCUCCAGGCUCUGAGCUGCCAGCACAGAGCCCGACUCGGGGCUCAAACUCACGGACCUCGAGAUCAUGACAUGAGCCGAAGUUGGAUGCUUAACCGACUCAACCCCCCCAGGCGCCCCUCUAGAUUCCUUUCAUGGUGGUUUUCUCUGAUAUGAACAUUUUCCAUGCGGCAGCCCCCUGCGGGCCCCCGUGAGCUCCCUCAUUCCGAGGAGCGCCAGCCAGGAUCUUAGGGGGAUGAAGAAAGGCUGACUUCUCCUCAGAUGAUCAUGGCCCUCGAUUCACCACAUUUGAAAGAUUUAGCUCCUGAAGGGCUCAUCUGCUGUAGGGCGAGGUCUGUGCUUUCUCAGAGCAUCGCUCCUCUGCUCGCAGAGGCCAGUUUCUCCCGCGUGACACCCGGGAGGUUGGGCUGACGUGGCUUGGGCUCAAUGUGUCCCGCGCGCCCCUCCCCUGUGACUUUCUCGUCUCUGAGAGCUGCUCGCCUCCUCCUGAGGGUUUUCCUCCGUGGCUGCCAUUCACAGAGACUCUCUCUGGGAUGGAUUAGAAAAUGAAUGGAAAUUUUCUCUUAUUCAUAAUAAUAGUCAGAGAUUUCCUCUGUACGAAUUCUUUGACAUCCUGCCGGAAUCCUGCCCAGAUGCGCGGCCACGCGUAUCCUCCCAGCGGAGCGAGGUUUGGGCUUCGUGGUUUCCCAAAGCAAUGCCUUUAUCAGUGUAAAGCCUCUCGGGAGCGGCAGCACCCGCUUCGAGGGUGGCCCCGUGGUUCUGCUGUGGCAGGAAGGCUGAGUGUUGGAGUCGACAGGAUGUCCUCAGUCCUGGCCUCAUACCGUGAUGACACCAUAGGAAAUGAAACUGUCACAAGUCCCCAUUUCCAUGGGGCGGGCACCCGGGUGGCUCAGUCGGUUAAGCGUCUGACUCUUGGUUUCAGCUCAGGUCAUGAGCUCACGGUUGUGUGAGAGCCCCGUGUUGAGUCCGUGCUGACAGCAGGGAGCUGCUUGGGCUUCUCUCCCCCUCGCUCUCUGCCCCUCCCCCGCUUGUGCUCGCGCUCUCUCUCUCUCAAAAUAAAUAAACUUAAAAAAAAACAACAAAACAAACACCAAGGUCCCCAUUUCCAAGAAACAAAGCUCUGUGACUGCACCAACCUCCCGGCCUCUGGCUGUCUCCUCUGGUGAUGGCUGAGCGAGAGAAGGCGCUGCGGCUUGAAGCCUUUCUUUCGCGAAGGGGUGAUGGGCCAGCUGCAUUCUGAGCGCCCGUGGUCAAGGCCCAUGUCACGGGUCCCCCCGGAGGGCAGGCCUCCCCAGUGCUCUGAAUUUGCCCACCCUCCUGUCCUGGCCCAAAGCCCGCCUCUUCCCUGAAGCCCUCCCGGGACUCUGCAGGCCUGCAGUUAGACUCCCUGCUCUGUGCUCGCAUAAGAAUUCACGGCCCACAAAACGCCCUAGCCAGCACUCACGCAGUGUUCUAGGCCUUCAUGACCUUUCUAGGCCUUCUCCUUCUCAAACAGACUUAAAGGAAGCUCUGUGAGGAAGAACCACGUCUCAUCCUUGAUAUUCUCCGUGGCUCCUCUGAGCACCGCAGGACUUGGGGUGGAGACUGGCUGUGGCUGUGGACGCUACGGUCCAAGAGGACGGGCUCGCCGCUCAGCGAGGUCGUGGGUGGAGGCACACCUGUGACUGAAGACGUGGCCUGCCUUCUCUGGGACGGUGGCCGGCUCAGUCAGGAGGAAGGUGACCUCGUCCUUGCCGCCACCCCCUUCCCCCCACCCCCCCAACCGCAGGCAGCCUUGCCACAUUCGCCCCGAUACCCGGAAGCUGGCCGUUGCUUCAUCCCCGUUGCCUCUGCCGCUGCCUGGGAGUGCCGUUGGGAGGGGGAGGCAGGGAACAAGCAAGAAACGGGUAUGGUCGUGAAGCUGUCCGCGCAGUGUCCUGGUUAAGUACGGCAGGCGUAGGGACCAGCUCUCAAAUAUGAACUUGUAGCUCUUUGAGGGCAAGGCCUAUGUCUGAAGCAGCUCUGUGUUCACGGUGCCUGGCUUAGCACCUGGCACGUAGUAAGGAUUCACCCGGCGUGGAGCAGGCAGGUGCUCCCGUAGUUACCGGCAGCCAGGGAGUUCGUGAAGGUAACAGAACGGAUGUUAGUGACCGUCCUGAAGUACCCCCUCCUCCGAGCCCCCCUACCCCCAAUGAGUGCCUCCUCCCCUUGGCAUAUGGCGAAGGCCUGGGUCUCAAGCACAGGACGCACACAGCGCCCUUUUUCUUUCGUUAGCUGCAGAGUCCCUGCCUCCCCCGUGGACAAGGGACAAACCCUGUGUGCACAUGCAGGGUUUCGUACAGCCUCGGAGCUCUCUUCUGCUUUCGUUUAAAGCUAGUAAGUUAGAAAUGUUGUUGGCCAGAUCGUAAGAGCUAGUCCCAGAUGCUGGCCGUGCUCAUGGAACCCGCAUCUCCUGGGAGCCCGGGCUGCUGCUAAACUGCUGGACCCCGAAGCCAGUGGAGAUGUGAGCACGCCACUGAGGGCUAAGGAGAGAAAGAAAAAGAAAGGGAGGGCCCUUGCCGGCCACCCCUCUAUCUGUUGCCAGGGGCCUUUGCGCUCACGCGAUUGUCCCGGGGCGGGAGCGCAGCCGCCGCCAGGGGUCUCCAGGCUUGGAAGCUUGGAGCUGGAAUGUCAUUUCCAGAUUUCCAGUGGGUCUCUGGAGUACUCUCUGAAAUUACUCCCCUGAUGACCAUCCCAGUGCUCGACCAGAUAGAAAUUCAUGCAGGCAGGUAGAAGGGAUGGAAAUAGCUAAUCAAGUGAAGGCAUUGGGGGUGCAGGGCGCUGGAGGGGCAGGUGACUCUAAGCUCGCCGCUCCCGGGGAACUGGCGAAGCUGCUCCAGAGGCUUCUAGAAAACGCUCGAGAAACCAGGUCUAGAAAGAAAGCCAUAAAGGGCUUCAUGAUACGUAAAGGCCCCCCGUUUCCCUGCUGCCCCCCACCCCGUGGAGGACACCAGUGGAGCCCCGCUUCCAGAAAGGCCAAGCCAGGCUCUUGGUCGCUUGCUCAGCAGCCGGUUCUCCUCACUGGGCCUCGGAGACACUGGGCACGAACGUGAGGCUCUCAGGGUAACAGCGGCCACCCUGCAUCCAGUGCCCACACUGCCAAGGGCUUCAGGCACAAUGUCUCUCGUGACCCCCCAACAGCCCUGGGAAAUAGGAUGUUCCUGUCCUGGUGCUAGAAUGAAGAAAGGAACUUAGAGAGGUUAAAUAAUUCACCCAACAGCAUGCAGCUGCUAAGUGGAGGGGCAGAGGCUCAAAUCCGGGUCUGCCCCUCUGUGCCUUAAGGUUCUAUGUGGCCCGUUGUGGGAUUGUUCCUUGCGUCACUGGAAUCGCCAGCCCGCUUUCUGCCCCUGUUGUGUGGCUACAUCGAAGUGACCCUCCGUCCACAAUCCCUUCUGCAGCCUGUCAGAGCCAGAAAAUGGCCUCUAAGAGACCAAGUCUAGUAGGUACUGAACCUCCCGAUGCCAGUGACAGCCACGUUCGCGAGAGACCUCCCACUUCCUGCCGGCAGUCACUGGAAUUUCUGCUUUGGGGAUUUGGGGAGACAUGCAAGUCACACAGACACAAGAAUCUAUGAUUCUGCUCUCGAUACUGCGAGUCAGGGAAGCAGGCCGAGCCUCUAGAGCAGGAAUGAGUUAGGUCUGCGCAGCCGUGUCCGGGCCUCAGCUGGAGCGGCCCAGGUGGCUGCAUUUGGCUAAGGUGGCUAGACUGUGGCCCGAGUUCAGGGGCCUUGGUUCUGUCUGCCAGCUGGAUUCCUCCUCUUCGUGUGGCAUCCGCCGGAGUGGGGCCAAAAUGUCCAAAAUGGCCUCUUCACUCGUGUGUCCGGGGCUUCCGUGUUCUCCCUUGUGGCCUCUCUCUUCACAGAGUGACUGAAUCUUCGCACAGCGUUGCUCCGGGCUCCGCAAACCCACGAUCCACGCUCUUCGGUGCCACCGAACCGGCCUUGCCCCGCGUCCCUUCUCAGGGACGCUGCCGCCUGGGGGCUGUGUUGUAUCACAUGACCCUGCUUCCUCGCCCCUCCCCCCGACAGGUCAUCGGACCAGGACCCAGUAGAGGCUGGCCAAUGACAUUCAAAGUCCCCUGGCUGGCUCAAAAAUUCAAGGAAUGCCAGUUAGACCAAUCAGAUUCCCCUUUGGGGACAUUGGCACCAAAAAAUCAGACAGUAUCGUCACAGUGCGUGACAGGAUGUCGGGAGGGCCAGUAGGGCCCGGAUGGACCCAUGUGCUAGCCAGGAUUAAACUGAAGAAGAAACUCGGGACAUAGAAGAGAAACAGGCUGUGACACGAGAGAACGUACUGAGCGUGGAGGGAACCACGAGCCUGUUACUGGUGAGGGGAGAAAGGAGGGACUCACCAGAGCAGAGCCAAGACCUGUGAGAGGCCGAGGAGGAAGUCAGCCCCAGGGUACCCCAGUGCCUUCUGGUCCCCUGGCCCAGCCUGGCCGUGUGUGUUAUGGCAGCAAGCCCGUUACUUACUCCCUUGGCUGUCAGGUGGCUUUGAGGUGGGCAUGUGACUUAGUUCUGCGAAUAAAAAUUUAUGAGGAAAUGGCUUGAGGACCUUCUGGGAAGAAAUUUGCUUUUUGAUUAAAGGGAGGAUGGUGAAGAGGCCUGUCCCUCCUUCCUGCCUUGAACGUGGAUGUCGGAGGACAUGAUGCUUAGGACUGUAGCCGCCAUCUUGAGACCCCGAGGCAACCAGACCAAAGGAAAAAGCCAACAUACCAAGGUUGGCCUAGCAGACAGACAAAAAGAGCCUGGGUCCUUGAUGAUACCGUUGAGCCACUAUACCUAUCCUGGAACCACCGGCUUCCAGUCUUAUUGAUAUAUUAAUUAAGUGUCCUUAUUUUCUAAGCAGAUUUCUGCUAUUUGGAACUAAGGCAUUCUUAACCAGUAGAGCAGUCUUCUGAACCCGCCCGUCACCAACUCCUUUGAGCACCAUGGUUCUUGGUUUAGAUCCAAAUGGAAACCCACCCCAAACUUAGCCAGUGGAAAACGUACUUACGUGGUAGGAAAUACAGGUCAAGAUUUCUCACAGCCUACAGAGCAAUUCUAGCGCUUAGUCCCAAAUCCCAGGGCCUGUUGGACACAAAUGAGGAAAGAUAGACUCAGGAAAGAUCUAGAUACAUGGCGAUGAGUCUUCUUCUAAAAUGAGGCUCAGUGAUGAAUUUGGGGAUGAACAAGUUCAGUGGAGGGAGAGAGGGAGAGCCUAAGCAUGGGCCAGAAAGCCAUGGAAAGCACGUGGAGGGAGCGGCGAGCUUGAACGGGCAAAUGGCAGUGGGUCAGAUCACUUCUGCAGGAGGCCAGGGUGCACAGCAGGAUUUUCUAAGUGCCAAGUACUAGCUGGGAGGGGCUUAUGGCAACUGAAACUAAACUGGGGGGAAACUAGGCAUUUUAGCGAACCCUCCUGCCAGCCCUACUGGCAUUUUAGAUCCUCUGAGGAACAAGGUGGCCUGAAUUGUGGCCCUUCCCUGUGUGUGGGCGCUGUCCCCUGCCCCCCACGCUCUUCACUCUGUCUCUUCACCUGUCCCUCUUUCUCCACCAUUUCUUCCUGUCUUCUCGGCAAAGCUAGGAGCCCGAAAUGCACAAGGUCUGAAUCUCUUCUGCUCAGUUGCAGAGUAAAGAUAGUGAGAGGCAAGGAUGUCUUUAGGAAACAUUGGAGCUUCAUCUGGGGCUCAUGUGAGUUAGCUUGAGAGGAGGGAAGCAGUGGGCUGCUAAGAACUAGAUGAAACUUUCUUCUGCCCCAACUUUGAUCGAGCUGUGGGGCUGGGGCCGGGGUGUGCUUCUUCAACACACUGCAAGAAAAUGUAUGGUCCUUCCUUCCCUUAUGAAAGGGAAGCUGAAUUCAAGAAGUUGAACUCAAGAACUCUAGGCCUUCCUCUUUCGAUUUCCAGUUUCAGAUACACAAGAAAGAUAAAGGGGUGUCCUCCUCAGACGUUCAGAACUUGAAGAGGUCAUCCGUUUGGCAUCUCCAGAUCAUCAGUAGUAGAGGUGUGGCCCAUGGAAAGUCAUCGAAUGAAUGGGGCCCAAACACGGAUGUGUCGCGAUGACAUUCGAAUUUGUGACCGGCAGAUUGUGCCACUAAGCCUUGUUGUGCCACUAAGCCUGUGUACCGCGGGCAUCCUCCCCACCGGGGGCCAAAACCAGGCCAACCCUGGUGUUUGUCUGCUGUGUUACUUCAUUCAUUUAGCAGAAGUGUACGGAAUGCCUAGUAGAAUUAUAAGCCAAGCAUAUAGAAGCAAUGGUACUAUUAGGAAAAUACGUUACUAAAGACAAAAACAAUUCCUGACAUAAUCAGAGAAAAGAACGAAAGCUCAGGGGUGGAUGAAACAAAAAGUUUAACCCCCUCCUUUGAUGUGACUGAUGCUUCAAUGUGAUAUACUUAGUAAAUGCUGACUUCCCCGCCCCGCCCCCAGUUGCCCCAUACAUUGCAAGGGUUUCUCUGAAAUCCAGUAAGGAAAAGAACUGAAGGCUUUUCUUCCCUCUUGGUAAUCAAGGUUUUUUCUCCAGUAUGAAUUAGCCUGAUUACGGAUUAAACACCCUCCCACAGUCUGUACAGCACAAGAGUGUCUUUCCCGUGAAUUCUCCAGUGACAAGAAAAGGCUGCAUGAUCCCUAAAUGACUUUCCACAUUGAUUAUACUCACAGGCUUUUCUCCCAAGGAUGAAUGAUCUCGUGUUCAAUACGCUCCGCGCUUCCCCUAGAUAGUUCUUUAUAUUCAUCACACGUGACCAACUCAUGUCCCCACUAAGCUAGCUGACGUCGUCUAAGGACGAGCUCGGGUUGAAGGCUCUCCCUCACCCAUUAUGCUCGCAGAGCACCUCCCUGCUCUGAGAUCCCAGAUGUCUAAUUAGCUCUGAGCUUCUCAAAGCAUUUUCACAGCCAUUACGCACAUGUGGUUUUUCUCCAGUGUGAAUUCUCUGACGUUGAAUGAGCUCUGCUUCCCUGAAAGCCCUCACAUUUAUUGCGUCUGUAGAGUUCCUGUUGUUUGUGAACGAGCCGAUUCCGUGUGGUACUAGAAUACUGGCAGACGCCUCCCCAGAUCAGGAUUCUCUGCAAGAGAAAUGUUCCAGCAUUCAGUAGGAUGGGAGCCCUCCCCCGCCCCCCGUCGUGAAAGUUGUCUGUAUUCAUAAUGAGGUGUUCUCUCCAAUACGGAUACUGUAAUACUGAAUAAAUUCUGACCUCUGAUCUAAGAUCUGGUCACAUUUAUUUUGGGGUUUUCUCACUUCUAAAAUAUACAGGUGGGGGGCACCUGGGUGGCUCAGGCGGUUAAGUGUGCGACUUCAGCUCAGGUCAUGAUCUCACAGUCCGUGAGUUCGAGCCCUGCAUUGGGCUCUGUGCUGACAGCUCAGAGCCUGGAGGCUGCUUCAGAUUCUGUGUCUCCCUCUCUCUCUCAAAAAUAAAUAAACAUUAAAAAAAAAUUUUUUUAAA